CGUAGAACCACCGUUGGAAGACGAUCAGAAGUGCAGCGACGACGAGUCGGCCAAUGCAGCAGCAGAGCAUGCUUCGGACCGCAACCCCAUCAUGUCUGCAGGCAAGGAAUGCUCGUUUAGGCGAUCAUUAAUCAGACAACAGCCACGACGCAGGAGUUGUAGGAGGAGAACAUCGGAAUCUCCUGCAGAACAUCACAUCGAUAACUCGAAUCCUCAGUAUGAUAUCUUAAUUCCUGCGACAUUAGAUGUGCUUUUCUUGAAAUGUUGCAGAUGACGUGAAGCAUGAGCACGAGAAAGGAAACGUAGAAGAGAACAUGACAAAGAUGAGAUCAAGUUCAUCGUCCAUCAACCCUACCAGGAGACCUGCCACUGCGGAGGAGAAACAAAGAGCUCUGAGUCUCGCCCGUUCAAUGAAAACAGCACAUCCAUCAUUUAUAGCAGAGCUGAGGCAAAGUAAUGUCAGCCAAAGUUAUGUUCUGGUGAGUUCAUCGUUCCCACGCCAUUGCUUCAAGCCAUAUGGAGAAACAAUCAAGCUGUCGUUGCAUGCAACUUGUGCAGGUUAUCCCACAUGGAUUUGCAGUACAAAACAUGCCUGGAUGCGAUCAAAGCGUCCUCCUCCGUCUGCCCAGUGGUGGAACCUGGCAAGUCAAC
rnacentral:lncRNA from 1 species